AGAAUUGUACUUCACUGGGUCAUUUCUGUGGUAUGUAUUCUCACACUUAGCUGUCAACAGUUGAGUAGAUUAUCUAUGGUAAUAGA